AAAAAUUGACACAAAAUAUUUCCUAUUUCCCAAACUGAACCAGUUUAGUACUGGUCCAGCGAGACCCACUUGGUUUUCCAGUCGUCUGAGUAGUACGUACCUAAAUUUAAUCACCCAGCGUGUUUUCUGCAACACCAAUACAAUCUUUUUCAAACAGCAUUUACAAUGACUUGUAUUAAGAAAUAUUCAGAAAUGCUAUUUUAAGAGCUGUCUUUUCAUAUACGUUCUCCUUCUUUAAAAAAAAUCACCACAAGGAUAUUUUAAAAUGUUAAAAAACACCAAAAAAACAACAUUUUCAUCACACUUGGUCUUUAAGAACUUUUGUUGGGGCAUUUUAAGGAGUUCAGCCUCCCUUUACCCAAAACAAAUGGGCACUGAGAAGAAGAGAGAAAAUGUUUUUUUUUAUAAUAUAAUAAUAAUAAUGUUACCAUUUGUACAAAAUAUUGACUAGCUACAUUUGAAUAUAUGCUACCUUUCUUAAAGUUUUAAAAUAAAUAAACUGAAAGUGAAUAUGAUUCUAAAUUUGUGCACCCCUUGAAGGCAUGCUGGCCUUGGACUCCAAGAGGACCUGGUGGCAGAAAAGAUGGAUGAAAAUUAUUAGCUGGAAACCGAAAUUGCCAAACAUCAUUAGACAACGCAAGAUUUUAGUGCUGGAACCACUUUUGUUACAACUUUUUUAGUGUUCAGGAUUAGCUUGAAAUGUGUCAAAAGAGGGAAAACAUCAAACUCUUCUUUACUUUAAUUGAUAACCACUAUUUUUAAUGUACUGAGUGUGACUGGUUUGUACUAAACAAAUCUUCCAAGUAAUUACACAGUAUUUUUCUUUUACUUUCAGUUUAAUGUAUUAAUUGAUAUCUGAAAUGGGUUUAUAUAACUGUUUUGUAAUUUUAUCAUGUAUUCAAUCAUAUUUGAAUGCUUACAACAAUCAAAUCAAAUCAAUCAGGAUGAUCUUGUUUAUCUUCAUUGUUUUUCAUGGUUCUUUAUAAAUUAUGACUAUAAUGUUAAACGUUUUCAGAACCAAAAGUGAGUCCAAGAUUUCAGUGGGUGGAGAACAGGUCCGACCAGAAGAUGAGGACCACGCGUCAGAUCUGAAUCUCGUGAUCAGAAAUCACCUAAAGUGAUGAAGAGAACUGCAUGUGGGGGGGUCGAGGAAGUUGUGUCAUAACUGAGAUGAAUCAGGAAGUGCCUUCUCAUUGCUGUGCUGACUCUGCAGCUGCCACCUGCUACCUGCUUUGGUUUGGGUUAUGAUGUUCUGCUGAUCCCCACCCAAACACCUGUGCUCCUGACCGACACAUGGUAGCAGUCAGAGUCCGGCAGGAUGGGCUCCAGACUGAAACAAAACCCGGAGCGAAGCUUCAUCUGGUUCUUUGAGGCUUUAUGUCCUGUGACCAGAGACGCAGGUGAGCGCUUUGUGUCUUUGUUCCGGGCAGCUCAGUUAAGUGACUUUCUCCAGGUUCUUGUCAGGUUUGACUCCAUUAUAAUGAUUUGAAUUACGAGAUAUCGAGGUCAUGCUUUACUAAGAGCAUAAAGCAUCUUCAAGUCAACCAAUCCAAUUCUGCAGUUACGUUAUGUUACUAAUGCUCACAAAAAAUAACAAAAAAA